rnacentral:sRNA from 1 species
ACUCACUCUCGUCUCCUCUUCUUCUUCUUCAACCUCUCCUUUCAUGCUCUUCUUCGCAUCUCAGCAGCCAUUUUUCCCUUCCCCGGGAUCUCCUCUUCUAUUCCUUUUCUUCCAUCGCCAUAAGAGCAGCCGCAGAUCGAAUUGCAUUGCAGUCUUUGCAGAUUUCAGCUUAAUUGCCGGUGAGUUGUUCUGAUGCCUCUUCUCUUCUUGAUUUCUCCAACCUACCAAAUUGCUUUCAUCCCCUCUCUAGCUAUCUCUGCAACUUUCUUUGCAUUGUGUGCGUUGUUUCCUUUUCAAUCUCUGUAGAUGUUGUUGGGUGCUGUGUGCUGAGAGAAUAAGGUUGCUGAAUUUAGCUUGUCGUUUCUGUCUCCAUUGGAGAUUUUCUCGGCUUUCUUGAAAUUUUCUGUCCCCGUUUACUCCUGUGGGUUCAUCACUGCUAACUACAAGCUGCUGGGAUGUGAUUAUUUCUACCCUACCAGUAAUCCUAUGGAAACUGCUUCCAGGGUUACUUUGGUGGAGUAGUUCAGUUCCUGACGACUGAGAAUAUCUGAAUAUGUGUUCAUUCUCGAACCUUCUUCGUCUUGCUGCUCCUCGAUCCAUACAUAAAAAAAGUUCCUGCCU